UACAGAGGUCUCAAGCGUUGUUCGGAUUCAUUGGGCGUAAAGGGUGUGUAGGUGGCGCCGUAAGUGGGGUGUGAAAUCUCGGGGCUUAACUCCGAAACUGCAUUCCAUACUGCGGUGCUUGAGGACUGGAGAGGAGACUGGAAUUCAUGGUGUAGCAGUGAAAUGCGUAGAGAUCAUGAGGAAGACCAGUGGCGAAGGCGGGUCUCUGGACAGUCCCUGACACUGAGACACGAAGGCCAGGGGAGCAAACGGG
rnacentral:rRNA from 1 species